rnacentral:snoRNA from 1 species
AAUAUGGUUGAUGAUGCAUUAUCUUUUUUCCCCAUCUUAUCGACCAUGGUGAAACGAUGCUAAUCUAAGCCAAAUCUGUCUGAAACCACACA